CGAAAGUGAAAGUAAAGCUGAACAGCAGCUCGACUCCUGAAACUAUCUUCAUGGUUCGAUUCAGUGAAAAUGGCGACGAGAUCCGAAUCACUUUCUGAGAUGUCAGCGAUCAGCUCCAGUCCAGAUGAUCCAGAGAUCUGGAUUCUUCUGAUGGGGCUCAUCUGUAAACACUGUAC